rnacentral:rRNA from 1 species
AGAGUUUGAUCAUGGCUCAGGAUGAACGCUGGCGGCGUGCCUAAAACAUGCAAGUCGAACGGUGGUAGCAAUACUACAGUGGCGAACGGCGGAGUAAUACGUGAACAACGUGCCCCAAAGACUGGGAUAGUCACUGGAAACGGUGGGUAAUACCGGAUGUGGCUCUUUUCUCUCCUGGGAGAAGCGUUGAAUGGUUUUUCGCUUUGGGAGCGGUUCACGGCCUAUCAGGUAGUUGGUGGGGUAAUGGCCUACCAAGCCGACGACGGGUAGCGGGUCUGAGAGGAUGAUCCGCUCGAGUGGGACUGAGACACGGCCCACACACCUACGGGUGGCAGCAGUUGGGAAUCUUGCACAAUGGGGGAAACCCUGAUGCAGCGACGCCGCGUGGAGGAUGAAGGGUCUAGGCCUGUAAACUCCUUUUAUGGGGAAAGACUUAGGACGGUACCCCAUGAAUAAGGACCGGCUAACUACGUGCCAGCAGCCGCGGUAAGACGUAGGGUCCAAGCGUUAUCCGGAUUUACUGGGCGUAAAGCGCGCGUAGGCGGUCUGUUAAGUGCACAAGUGAAAGCUCCGGGCUCAACUCGGAAAUUGCUUUGCAUACUGGCAGGCUGGAGGGACGCAGAGGUCUGUGGAAUUCCUGGUGUAACGGUGAAAUGUGUUGAUAUCAGGAGGAACACCCAUGGCGAAGGCAGCAGACUGGGCGUUUCCUGACGCUGAGGCGCGAAAGCGUGGGUAGCAAACAGGAUUAGAUACCCUGUAGUCCACGCCCUAAACGAUGGAUACUAGGCGUAGGAGGUAUCGACCCCUCCUGUGCCGCAGCAAACGCAUUAAGUAUCCCGCCUGGGGAGUACGGCCGCAAGGUUGAAACUCAAAUAAAUUGACGGGGACCCGCACAAGCGGUGGAGCAUGUGGAUUAAUUCGAUACUAACCGAAGAACCUUACCCACUCUUGACAUUGAAGGAAAGCUCUAGAGAUAGAGCCCUCUCUCACAAGGAGACCUGAAAACAGAUGUUGCAUGGCUGUCGUCAGCUCGUGCCGUGAGGUGUACGGUUAAGUCCGCCAACGAGCGCAACCCUCGUUCCGUGUUACCAGCGAGUAAUGUCGGGCACUCACAGGAGACCGCCGGUGUAAGCCGGAGGAAGGUGGGGAUGAUGUCAAGUCAGCAUGGCUCUUACGAGUGGGGCUUCACACAUGCUACAAUGGGCU